UUCUACUAAAUUAUCAUUUGUGCCUAUAACUUAUUUGAUAAAAGGCCUCUAUUAUUUUUUUUUUACCUCUCUUUUACAUAGAUAAGUCUCCUUGUAUACAUUCUUUUUAUUUUAACAUGAACACUAAGGUGGAGAGUAGAUUUUACGUAGGUUAAAUCUGCAUGGGACUUUUUCAUGGGAGCCAACCCACGUGACUCGGAUGUUACCCCAAUGCAUAGGUUUUCGCAAGUUCCUCUGUGUGAGCCGUUGACUAAGCCAUUGUUUUCUGCCUCUUCGAACCUAGUUUCGGGUUAGAGGAGCCAGAAGGAUUACAAUUUUAUUUCUUUUGGUCCUGGAAAUCGUUGUAGACUUUUUUGAGCGAAUCUCUAGCCUCGAAGGAAAGUUGUCCUUGGAAACCUUAUUUGUCUUUUUCUGAAAUUUCAAAUCUAGAUUCUUGCCCAGCACAUCAAAUCUCGAUCCAUUAUUCCCUCCUUGAUUGGUGCCUUCCAUUGUCCUCUUGAUUGGACUCCUUUUACCCCAUCUCGUUACCACAUCCAAUCUCCACAAGCGGAGGCCGCCGCGCAGGGGCGUUGGGUACAGAGUUCGAGCUAGAAGCCUCGUGAUCCUUACUGGGCUAGUGAGGCACACAGGAUGGAGAUGUAUGACCAAUUCUACCACAAGUGAAGCAGAGACUCGGCAUAUUCUCAUACUCGAUUAAUUGCACCCGGCCUCUAAUAUCCACUUUUGAGACAAGAGGCUUACUAAGAUUAACAAACACAGUCAUGCGAGCAAACUUACCCUGGGAGGUUACUUGAGUGGUCUCGUCGAUUUUUACAAGUUUGCCAACCUAAUUUCCCACUCCAUGCAGCAUCUUUUUGUUGUAGAGGUGUAGGGGGAACCUAGGAAAUCUAAUCCAGACCACAGCAGUGUCCAUAACAUUCGAGGCAACAUCAAAGGUAGGGUCCCAGGGUUGCAGCUAUAGGUAACUUCCUAAGACCACCCAUGAACCCUCCAGAUGGGCUUUAAGAUAGCCCUCAUUAUUUGAAAAAUUCGCUAGAAAGAAGUCAUUACCUAGAUCUAGCAAACUGAAAGUUAUUGUACUUCAUAGAACUUGCAGGCGUGUAUGUAAAGCUUUGAACCCUAUUUUCCUUCUCAACAAAUGGAUAACCAAGGCACGACUCCAGCGUUUCGCUAGAAGAUUAUCGAGGUCAUCUGAGAAAGAUAUGACAGGAAAUGAGCCUGAUGGAUCUACAGAAAUUUCAGAAUCAUCAAAGUCAAUCUCGUCCAAGAAGCUGUCAUCCACAUCAUGAUCCAUCCCAGACGAAUCGACCACCUUGUCCCCAAAGGAUACAUCAGAUCGAACAAACUGAGGGCUGUGUUCUCUAUGUUUUAACUUUUUGGUGGCUAUGUCAGAUUCCACGGCAGUCAUCAGACUCUUUGUCAUCGUAGUGGAAGCGAGAGGAGAGCAUUGCAAAAAAAAAAAAAAAAAUGAAAACCUGUUUUAAUUUAGUGUAAUUUUAAUAUAAGAUGGACAAUGAUUUAAAUUGGAC
rnacentral:lncRNA from 1 species